GGCGACUUUGUAUAAAAUCCUCCUUUUUUCAUGGUACAGAGUUUCCUCUUGUUUAGACCCUAUCAUAAGUAUCUGUUGUAACUGACUUUAAGAAAUGACUAUCAUGAAUCGCGCUUUGUGUAUCAGGGCCUAACUGUUUGACAGAAACUGAGACUGAAUGAAGUCUAAGGUGGACCUUGACCAAAUUUCGUUCUCAUCAAAUUUUCUUCUCAAAGAUUCAAACUGAGAAUAUGGCACAUAGUUGGGUACCUUUUCAUACCCUGGCGAGAUAAGAUAAAUAAAACAAUAGGAAAUUGUGCCCAACUAUUGGGUGAACCUGGCAGUUCUAUUUGAGGGUUGUUUGAUGAGAUUUGAACUAAAAGUAGAUUAUUGACUGGUAUUAUUUCCCUUUUUGUCCGGAAGACAUUAUUCCCUGAACAUGUUACUUUUAUUGCAAAUUGUAUGCCUGCUUAUCAUUAGUCCUCUCUGUACCUCGUUGUUAAUUUUUUUGCUUGGCUUUUCUGGUGCCAUUGCCCAAUGCCCACUACCGGUCAGUGUUCAAGGUGCUCUAUAUAUGCAAUAGUUUUUUCAUUUGUACAUCUUGCUACUCCAGGCAUCGGACAAGGUCAAGUCUUCCUCUUUCUAUAACAUUAGGGAUUGGAGAUAGAUUAUAUUGCACAUUUGAACAAGGGAUGGACUCAACUAUCUUGCUGACUGAUUCUGUUGG
rnacentral:misc_RNA from 1 species